AUUGAACGCUGGCGGCAGGCCUAACACAUGCAAGUCGAGCGGAUGAGUGGAGCUUGCUCCAUGAUUCAGCGGCGGACGGGUGGGUAAUGCCUAGGAAUCUGCCUGGUAGUGGGGGACAACGUUUCGAAAGGAACGCUAAUACCGCAUACGUCCUACGGGAGAAAGUGGGGGAUCUUCGGACCUCACGCUAUCAGAUGAGCCUAGGUCGGAUUAGCUAGUUGGUGGGGUAAAGGCGCACCAAGGCGACGAUCCGUAACUGGUCUGAGAGGAUGAUCAGUCACACGGGAAUUGAGACACGGUCCAGACUCCUACGGGAGGCAGCAGUGGGUAAUAUUGGACAAUGGGCGAAAGCCUGAUCCAGCCAUGCCGCGUGUGUGAAGAAGGUCUUCGGAUUGUAAAGCACUUUAAGUUGGGAGGAAGGGCAGUAAGUUAAUACCUUGCUGUUUUGACGUUACCAACAGAAUAAGCACCGGCUAACUUCGUGCCAGCCGCCGCUGUAAAAC
rnacentral:rRNA from 1 species